GGAUCCGCUCCUUAGGACGUUAUAGUUACGGCCGCCGUUUACUGGGGCUUCAAUUCGCAGCUUCGCUUGCGCUAACCACUCCUCUUAACCUUCCAGCACCGGGCAGGCGUCAGCCCCUAUACGUCACCUUACGGUUUUGCAGAGACCUGUGUUUUUGCUAAACAGUCGCCUGGGCCUAUUCACUGCGGCUCUCAUGCGCUUGCACGCUCAAGAGCACCCCUUCUCCCGAAGUUACGGGGUCAUUUUGCCGAGUUCCUUAACGAGAGUUCUCUCGCACACCUUAGGAUUCUCUCCUCGACUACCUGUGUCGGUUUGCGGUACGGGCACCUCUCACCUCGAUAGAGGCUUUUCUUGGCAGUGUGAAAUCAGGAACUUCGUCCUUAAAGGACUCGCCAUCACAGCUCAACGUUACAGUGUGCGGAUUUGCCUACACACACGCCUUACUGCUUGGACGCGCACAACCAACGGCGCGCUUACCCUAUCCUACUGCGUCCCCCCAUUUCUCAAACGGUGAGGAGGUGGUACAGGAAUAUCAACCUGUUGUCCAUCGCCUACGCCUAUCGGCCUCGGCUUAGGUCCCGACUAACCCUGAGCGGACGAGCCUUCCUCAGGAAACCUUAGUCAUACGGUGGACGGGAUUCUCACCCGUCUUUCGCUACUCAUACCGGCAUUAGUCAUACGGUGGACGGGAUUCUCACCCGUCUUUCGCUACUCAUACCGGCAUUCUCACUUCUAAGCGCUCCACCAGUCCUUCCGGUCUGACUUCAACGCACUUAGAACGCUCUCCUACCACUGACAUCAUAGAUGUCAAUCCACAGCUUCGGUGAAUCGUUUAGCCCCGAUACAUUUUCGGCGCAGCGUCACUCGACCAGUGAGCUAUUACGCACUCUUUAAAUGAUGGCUGCUUCUGGG
rnacentral:rRNA from 1 species